CUGGCUUUUGAGUUGGGGUCUUCUAGGCCGAUCUCCACCCUUUGUAUAACUACCAUGUUGCUUUGGCGGGCCCGUCUUUAACCGGACCGCCGGGGGUCUUUUGACCUCUGGCCAGUGCUCGUCAGUAGCCUACACAAAAACUCUUUUAACCAUGUUAAAUCUGAAACUAGUUAAAUAAACUAAAACUUUCAACAACGGAUCUCUUGGUUCUGGCAUCGAUGAAGAACGCAGCGAAAUGCGAUAAGUAAUGCGAAUUGCAGAAUUCAGUGAGUCAUCGAAUCUUUGAACGCACAUUGCGCCCUUUAGUAUUCUGAAGGGCAUGCCUGUUCGAGCGUCAUUAUCACUAAUCAAGCCCGGCUUGCUGUUGGACCUCUUGUCGUUAAAAGACAGUUCCUAAAGAUAAUGACGGCGUCAGUUGGACCCUAGAUGCAACGAGCUUUAACUAGCACGCAUUUUAGUUGGCCCUUUUGACCCGGUCUUUUUAUAACCAUUUUCUAAGGUUGACCUCGGAUCAGGUAGGAAUACCCGCUGAACUUAAGCAUAUCAA
rnacentral:rRNA from 1 species